rnacentral:rRNA from 1 species
UCAGGACGAACGCUGGCGGCGUGCCUAAUACAUGCAAGUUGAGCGCUGAAGGUUGGUACUUGUACCAACUGGAUGAGCAGCGAACGGGUGAGUAACGCGUGGGGAAUCUGCCUUUGAGCGGGGGACAACAUUUGGAAACGAAUGCUAAUACCGCAUAAAAACUUUAAACACAAGUUUUAAGUUUGAAAGAUGCAAUUGCAUCACUCAAAGAUGAUCCCGCGUUGUAUUAGCUAGUUGGUGAGGUAAAGGCUCACCAAGGCGAUGAUACAUAGCCGACCUGAGAGGGUGAUCGGCCACAUUGGGACUGAGACACGGCCCAAACUCCUACGGGAGGCAGCAGUAGGGAAUCUUCGGCAAUGGACGAAAGUCUGACCGAGCAACGCCGCGUGAGUGAAGAAGGUUUUCGGAUCGUAAAACUCUGUUGGUAGAGAAGAACGUUGGUGAGAGUGGAAAGCUCAUCAAGUGACGGUAACUACCCAGAAAGGGACGGCUAACUACGUGCCAGCAGCCGCGGUAAUACGUAGGUCCCGAGCGUUGUCCGGAUUUAUUGGGCGUAAAGCGAGCGCAGGUGGUUUAUUAAGUCUGGUGUAAAAGGCAGUGGCUCAACCAUUGUAUGCAUUGGAAACUGGUAGACUGA